rnacentral:rRNA from 2 species
CGAAAGAUUGAUCCAGUUACUUAUUAGGAUGAUAUAUAAAUAAUUAUAAAAUUUUAUUAUAAAGAUUAUAAUAAUAAUAUAUAUAAAUUGAUUAAAAAUAAAAUCCAUAAAUAAUUAAAAUAAUGAUAUUAAUUACUAUAUAUAAUAUAUAUAGAUAUAUAAAGAUAUAAUUAAUAUAAUAAUAUGUAAAAAUAAUAUUAUAUUUAUAUGUUUUAUUGUAUAUUUUAAUAGUCCUGACAAAUAUUUGUGCCAGCAGUCGCGGUAACACAAAGAGGGCGAGCGUUAAUCACAAUGGUUUAAAGGAUCCGUAGGAUGAAUUAUUUAAUAAUUUAGAGUUAAUAGAUUUAAUUAAAGAAUUAUAAUAGUAAAGAUGAAAUAAUAAUAAUAAUUAUAAGACUAAUAUAUGUGAAAAUAUUAAUUAACUAUUAACUGACAUUGAGGGAUUAAAACUAGAGUAGCGAAACGGAUUCGAUACCCGUGUAGUUCUAGUAGUAAACUAUGAAUACAAUUAUAAAUCUAAAAAUUAGAUUAAUAAUAAAUGAAAAUGUAAGUAUUCCACCUGAAGAGUACGUUAGCAAUAAUGAAACUCAAAACAAUAGACGGUUACAGACUUAAGCAGUGGAGCAU